rnacentral:rRNA from 1 species
GACGAACCGUGCAAACGUUAUUCGGAAUCACUGGGCUUAAAGCGCGUGUAGGCGGGACGGCACGUCGAUCGUUGAAAGCCCCCGGCUCAACCGGGGAAUGGGCGCCGAUACGACCGUCCUGGAGGAACGUAGGGGGACCUGGAACUUCCGGUGGAGCGGUGAAAUGCGUUGAGAUCGGAAGGAACGCCCGUGGCGAAAGCGAGGUCCUGGACGUUUUCUGACGCUGAGACGCGAAAGCCAGGGGAGCGAACGGG